AGUCGUAACAGGGUCUCCGUUGGUGAACCAGCGGAGGGAUCAU
rnacentral:rRNA from 1 species